GCCGCGUUAGCGUAGUGGUAGCGCGUCGCACUUGUACAGCUGGUCGCUUGAGCCAGAACAGCACAUGCGAAGGUCACUCGUUCAAUCCGGGUACGUGGCA